AGCGAACGCUGGCGGCGUGCCUAACACAUGCCAGUCGAACGUGAAAGGGAGCAAUCCCAAGUAAAGUGGCGUACGGGUGAGUAACACGUAGGUAAUCUACCCCAGAAUCUGGAAUAACCGGCCGAAAGGCUGGCUAAUACUGGAUAGAGCGACGGAAUCCGUAAUUGGGUUUUUCGGGAAAGGGAGCCUGUAAAAAGGCCUUCGUUCUGGGAUGAGCCUGCGUCCCAUCAGCUAGUUGGUGAGGUAAAAGCUUACCAAGGCAAUGACGGGUAGCUGGUCUGAGAGGACGAUCAGCCACACUGGAACUGAAACACGGUCCAGACUCCUGCGGGAGGCAGCAGUGGGGAAUCUUGCGCAAUGGACGAAAGUCUGACGCAGCAACGCCGCGUGAGGGAAGAAGGCCUUCGGGUUGUAAAGCUCUGUCGAGUGGGACGAAAAUGCUUGGAGUUCACAGCUCCAGGAACUGACGGUACCACUAAAGGAAGCACCGGCUAACUCCGUG
rnacentral:rRNA from 1 species